rnacentral:rRNA from 1 species
GGUUAAGCGACUAAGCGUACACGGUGGAUGCCCUGGCAGUCAGAGGCGAUGAAGGACGUGCUAAUCUGCGAUAAGCGCCGGUAAGGUGAUAUGAACCGUUAUAACCGGCGAUUUCCGAAUGGGGAAACCCAGUGUGACUCGUCACACUAUCAUUAACUGAAUCCAUAGGUUAAUGAGGCGAACCGGGGGAACUGAAACAUCUAAGUACCCCGAGGAAAAGAAAUCAACCGAGAUUCCCCCAGUAGCGGCGAGCGAACGGGGAGGAGCCCAGAGCCUGAAUCAGCAUGUGUGUUAGUGGAAGCGUCUGGAAAGGCGCGCGAUACAGGGUGACAGCCCCGUACACAAAAGCGCAUGUGCUGUGAGCUCGAUGAGUAGGGCGGGACACGUGGUAUCCUGUCUGAAUAUGGGGGGACCAUCCUCCAAGGCUAAAUACUCCUGACUGACCGAUAGUGAACCAGUACCGUGAGGGAAAGGCGAAAAGAACCCCGGCGAGGGGAGUGAAAAAGAACCUGAAACCGUGUACGUACAAGCAGUGGGAGCACCCUUUGGGGUGUGACUGCGUACCUUUUGUAUAAUGGGUCAGCGACUUAUAUUCUGUAGCAAGGUUAACCGUAUAGGGGAGCCGUAGGGAAACCGAGUCUUAAC